ACGGGAGGCAGCAGUGGGGAAUAUUGGACAAUGGGGGCAACCCUGAUCCAGCGACGCCGCGUGAGUGAAGAAGUAUUUCGGUAUGUAAAGCUCUAUCAGCAGGGAAGAAAAUGACGGUACCUGACUAAGAAGCCCCGGCUAACUACGUGCCAGCAGCCGCGGUAAUACGUAGGGGGCAAGCGUUAUCCGGAUUUACUGGGUGUAAAGGGAGCGUAGACGGCGAUGCAAGUCUGAAGUGAAAGCCCGUGGCUUAACUGCGGAACUGCUUUGGAAACUGUAUUGCUAGAGUGUCGGAGAGGUGAGUGGAAUUCCCAGUGUAGCGGUGAAAUGCGUAGAUAUUGGGAGGAACACCGGCGGCGAAGGCGGCUCACUGGACGAUAACUGACGUUGAGGCUCGAAAGCGUGGGGAGCAAACAGGAUUAGAUACCCUGGUA
rnacentral:rRNA from 1 species